UAACACGUGGGUAACCUGCCUUAUAGUGGGGGAUAGCCUUUCGAAAGGAAGAUUAAUACCGCAUAAGAUUGUAGUAUCGCAUGAUAUAGCAAUUAAAGGAGCAAUCCGCUAUAAGAUGGACCCGCGUCGCAUUAGCUAGUUGGUGAGGUAAUGGCUCACCAAGGCGACGAUGCGUAGCCGACCUGAGAGGGUGAUCGGCCACACUGGAACUGAGACACGGUCCAGACUCCUACGGGAGGCAGCAUG
rnacentral:rRNA from 1 species